GACGAACGCUGGCGGCGUGCUUAACACAUACAAGUCGAACGGAAAGGCCCUGCUUUUGUGGGGUGCUCGAGUGGCGAACGGGUGAGUAACACGUGAGUAACCUGCCCUUGACUUUGGGAUAACUUCAGGAAACUGGGGCUAAUACCGGAUAGGAGCUCCUGCUGCAUGGUGGGGGUUGGAAAGUUUCGGCGGUCGGGGAUGGACUCGCGGCUUAUCAGCUUGUUGGUGGGGUAGUGGCUUACCAAGGCUUUGACGGGUAGCCGGCCUGAGAGGGUGACCGGCCACAUUGGGACUGAGAUACGGCCCAGACUCCUACGGGAGGCAGCAGUGGGGAAUAUUGCACAAUGGGCGGAAGCCUGAUGCAGCAACGCCGCGUGCGGGAUGACGGCCUUCGGGUUGUAAACCGCUUUCGCCUGUGACGAAGCGUGAGUGACGGUAAUGGGUAAAGAAGCACCGGCUAACUACGUG
rnacentral:rRNA from 1 species